rnacentral:rRNA from 1 species
GGUACGGGUUGUGAGAGCAAGAGCCCGGAGAUGGAUUCUGAGACACGAAUCCAGGCCCUACGGGGUGCAGCAGGCGCGAAAACUUUACAAUGCUGGCAACAGCGAUAAGGGAACCUCGAGUGCCAGGUUACAAAUCUGGCUGUCGAGAUGCCUAAAAAGCAUUUCAUAGCAAGGGCCGGGCAAGACCGGUGCCAGCCGCCGCGGUAACACCGGCGGCUCGAGUGGUAACCGUUAUUAUUGGGUCUAAAGGGUCUGUAGCCGGCCGGAUAAGUCUCUUGAGAAAUCUGGCAGCUUAACUGUCAGGCUUUCAGGAGAUACUGUCUGGCUCGAGGCCGGGAGAGGUGAGAGGUACUUCAGGGGUAGGGGUGAAAUCUUGUAAUCCUUGAAGGACCACCAGUGGCGAAGGCGUCUCACCAGAACGGACCUGACGGCAAGGGACGAAAGCUAGGGGCACGAACCGGAUUAGAUACCCGGGUAGUCCUAGCCGUAAACGAUACUCGUUAGGUGUCGGCCACGGUGCGACCGUUGUCGGUGCCGUAGGGAAGCCGUGAAGCGAG